rnacentral:antisense_RNA from 1 species
UUAGCUAACAGCACCCAGGACUGUGGUGUGAUGUAGCAUCCAUUUCAGAGAGGGAAAAAGUGCUUUGGCUGUCCCCUGCUCUAGGCAUGUAGGCCAAAUGGACAGGAUUUUAUAAGAGAGAAAGAACUUCAUGUCACGACACUGGCAGAGCUGGGUAGACUUAGAGCAAACUAACUAGAAAGAUGAACAGUGUCCCUUGAAAUGCACAAGGCUUCCUCUCUCCAGAGGGUAAAACACUCACCUAGUGUGUCCUUCAGGUUCUUCACGAGGGAGCCCUUCUUCAGGCUGUUCUUCCGCUCCACGUAGUUGGACGGCACAUAGCCCGUCCUGUUGGCCGCGUUCCUCACCCGCCACCACGUCUUGGAGUCAUCCAGCAACCACAGCCGCUCGUUCUUCUUGAUGUCCAGCUCCUGGUCCUGCUGGGCGGUGUAGUCCCACUUGGCUAUCACAAUAACUUCUUCUGUCAUCUUUCAUGGAGUCCUUCUGCCAGCAAAACAUUUGGAGAUGCUCAUUAGAGAACUACCCGGACACUUCAUCCUUUGCACCAACU